AUGGUGAAAAAAAAUGCAACUGUUCAAAAUAUCUCGCUCGCCCUACACCAGCCAUGGCGCCGAGCUCGUCUCCCUAGAUUCUUCUUUACGGGAUCUCGAGGGUACCUACCAUCAAUGGCGGCAACCAGAUUAUGCCAUAGGAAGGUGUUUCCAUCAGGCCUUCAACAGAAAAUCAGCCCCACAGUAGGCAAAGUGGUUUCGAUGGAGAUGGCAGCAAAUCUGAGGUGGGUCCAGUCGUCAACAAGAGGUACUCUUCCGAGCUUGCGUGAUUAUCCCGCUGCAGAAUUUAUGUAUUUUUUCUCGAUCUUUGAAGUAAUUGUAGUCGAUUUAGAGUCCAGUAGGCAAGUGGUCGAUGGAGCAAGAUGACAUCUCUGAGCUGUUACCCCUUCAUCGUGCCUUCCUUUUUCAACUUCAAAGCUGGAACCCAAGUGAUGCGUGAUUAACCAGUUUGAUUUACUGUCCAAGAUUAACCAGGAACUCCCUAUAGAUAGGGUCAUGCAAGCAAGUAGUAGGGUGUUUGAGUUAUGAAUCCGUUCUUGCGGAAGGUAAUGGUAGCAGUGGGAAUAUGGUGUUGGUUUCUAGUAACGAAGAUGACUAUUGCAGUAGGCAAAACUGGAGAUUGAACCACUGACUAUGGGCUGAAAGUUUCAACUCCCAAGCAGUUUGAUAGAACUAUGAUGAAAGAACCACAAUUUUGGUAAGUUUUCAAUUAAUUACUCAAAUAUGUUGUCUUACAAUUCCCCCGUAGUUUCUAAAAUUGUUUGUUGUGGCCAAGCACUGUAACUGGUGGUGAAAUUGCAAUUUGAAGUUUCAUCAGCAAUAGCAGUACACUGGGCAGAAGCUAUGCAAGGUUGCAGUUUGAGAAUGAAUGUACUGACUGUAUAAUCUUGAAUCCAGAAGGCUGAGCACAACCAUGGUCAAAAGGAAAUGGAUUGGGGACAAAGAAUUGAGCUAAAUAUGGCAAUGCAAUGCAAGAAUUCCAGUUCCAGGUAAUGGCAUGGGAACCAAUCGGAUGGAGAAACUUUUUUUUUUAGAACAAUCGGAUGGAGAAACUGGUGGGAACAUGUUUGGCUGUGCAGGUUCUAGUGCUAGAUUGAAUGACUCUGAACUUUUGAUACUCAUGCCUCCAUAUGCGUGGUCGAUUAAGAAUGAACCCAUAAAAGUCGCAGCUUGACAUAAUCAAGGAGAAGAUGAAAAAGGCUAGGAAGAAGGCCAGGACGGAAUGAAGCAAAAGAAUAGAGUCAAGAGGAGUUACACUACUUGUGCCUUGAUGACCAUAAGGCAUCAGAGUCCCUAACUAAAAGUUGUUGGUAUUUCUUAGUAAAACUCAGCACUUGUAGCUGAUGAUAAUUAGCUGUUUCUUGUAUGCUGGAUUCUUGUUUCCUCUAAUUGGCUUAGAUUUAGUCUGGCACCAAGUCAUGACAGUUACCGCUGGGUAAUGCAAGUCACCUGAAGGA